GGCACAGGAACGAUGUUGGCCACCCACGGUGGAUAACUUGUAACAGCCAGAAAACCCGCAUCCCACUGCUUCUGAACCUCUUCCUUGAUCUUAGUUGCCAUGUCAGGACUCGUUCUACGAAGCUUCUGCUUGACCGAAGGACAUCCUUCUCUAAGAGGUAAUCGAUGCACCACAAUGUCUGUAUCUAACCCAGGCAUAUCUUGAUAUGACCAGGCGAAUAUCUCCACAUAUUCUCUCAGCAUCUCAAUCAGCCUCCUCUUGACAGAGUCCUCUAAAGCAGCCCCAAUC
rnacentral:lncRNA from 1 species